UCAAAUCUCUCGAGAAGCUCUGACCCCGCCUCCUGGAGAAUGAAUCAAUCAGGACAGGCCCACUGCGGUCCGCAGUAGGUUGGGGGAUUCCCAUGAUGCUCUGUAACAAUAACCUGUUGCUUAGGAGGUGGGUUCCGGCAGCUACUUCCGGUUCCCGCCACUCCGAAAGCGGAAGUGCAGGCUUUCCAGCGAACCGCCAACCAGACAAAUUCCGACCCACUGGCCGUGUGCACCCCGGAGCUGACUGCACGUGCAGAAAGUAGCUUCCACUUCUCUGAAAGGUGUACGGGCCCACUGAGGAAUACCCACUCCUUGCCUGCAUGGGCUUUCACCCGCAGUUUCAAGCGAUUUGGAUUUCCAUCCCAAACCAUAGGACUCCGGCAGUUCGUCUUAACGGUUUUAAGAUCCAUCAGCGUUGUUAAUGUGCAUCCGGUUGACACUUCUGGAUUUAGUUUUCAACAGCGCACAUCUGCCAUAUUUCACUCACCCCCUUCUCUAUGAUGAGCAUCUAAACUGCUUCCAACAUUCAGCUACCCUGUAAACAUCCUUGAGUCUGCGGGAGAAUUUCCUACGAAUAUAUGUAUUCUAGCAUUUUCCCACAGAUCAUAAGGCAUGCGCAUGCUGGAGCUCAACAACUGCCAGAUGACCUUCCUGAGUGGUGGUGGUACCAGUUGAGACUCCCUCCAGCAGUGCCCCAGAGUUCCAUCUUCUGUAUUCUCACCUGCACCAUUUUCUCCCUUCUGACAUUGACCAUUCUUAGACAUGCAAAGGCAGAGCUCAGGUAGAUGCAGUAGGUCAUAGGGAGCUGGCGAAAACUCUUCACCUGUGGGCACCGUGAGAAAGGGGCUGCUUUAGAAGAAUUGUGCAGGAACGGAUCUGAUUUGCAAAACCCAAAGAUGCAAUAUAUAUAUGUAUUCUCUGAGAGGUUUGGGAGAUGUUUAGCGUGACAAAUAAAAACUAUUUUGUACAUA